CUCCCUCCCGCAGCCGCCUCGCUCCCUCCCACGCACCCGCCUCCCUUCCUCUUCCUCUCCCCCACCUCUCCCUCCACCAGACCUCGCUGCCCCGCCCACUUCGCCACUGCCGACGCCCCUCAGACGUCGCUGUCAUGGCUCAGCCAUCUCCCAGCACGCUCCUCCCCUUCCCUGCUCCUCCCCUUCUCCACUGCAGCCGCCGCCGCGCCCCUCCCCUUCUCUACUGCAGUCGACAUGGCGCUCGUACGGGGAGGAUAGGCAGACAGAAGCGUUCUCCCUCUGUGUGGCCGUCGUGGUGCCCACCCGCCUCGUCACCGCCGAUGAUGACGGCCGGCUCCCGCUCCUCUUCUCGGGCCGAGGAAGGCGGCGAGGGGCCCGCCGUGGACCGGUUCGACCCCGGCGCGCCGCCAUCCCCAAGCACUGCCAGAUGCGAUUAUCUGCAGGUCAGUCGGCCGUGUCGGCCUCAUGUACCCAGCACGAGAUGAAAGAUGGAUUUAGAGAAGGGAGGGAGCAGGAGGAGAAGAGGAAGAAGACACCGUACCACCUCCAUGCACCUCCAAUUUCUCUAUCCUUUUCUUGCAGAAUAGGGAUGGGCAAUUGGUGAAUAUACUGAACGGAUACAUUCACUAGAAAUGAGGGGCUGUUGAUGUUGUGGGCUUGAUUGGCUUUGCAGGUUCCAACCAGAUUGCUUUGCAGGCCCAUGUUUGUUGGUGCCACGAAAUGGCCGUGCCACCGCUUGUGUGAGCCAUGACAGCGCUGCCCGCACGCCUGCCCCAAAAUGCUGCCCCGACCCGAGCCGCCACUGUUCGUCCGGAGAAGUGCGGGAAGAAGAAGAUGGGUAGUAGUGCAUGGCAACAGGGAGAGACUCAUAGCAUUUUGUGAAGUUGCAGCGACACUAGAUGGUUUGGCUGGUCCACAACACCGUCUCAGGAAUGCCGCCAUGGAUGCCUCGACUGGACAGAGCACAACGCGCCUCAUCCUUGCUCCCGCACUAUGAUGUCUUCUCCUCCUGCAAUCGGCCGCGCCGAUCGAUCAGGUAUGGAUGAGAUGUUUUAUGGGUUUUGGUACCCCAAUGGUCUUGCACUAGCCACAGACAGCUUUGGAUUUGUGCCUUGGUUCAGGUUUAUAAAGCGUGGCAUGGCACAUGUACUAUAUUAUUGAGCUAUCAUCUUCUGGUUCUGGAUUUAUGGUGGCGGUAGUAUUGACGCUGAAGGAAUGGGAGAGAAAGACAAGCUUGCUCUUGUGCUACCGCUAGGUGAGGUGAUUGACUCGGGGGUGUCUUUUCUCAAAAAAGACAGGCUUAACCAUGAGAGCAUGAGAUCUUUGCACCUGUUGUUUGAUGCGUUUGUGCUCGUCGGCGGGACGGUGCAAGGUGCAACUCCGACGCGAUUCCUCGCCGGUUGGACGGCGUUCAGGCGCAACCCCGGCGCGCACUGAGUAUUGCCUCAGCUACAACCUCCCUCGGUGAGCUCCAUCUUCCUCCUGUUCCUCUUCUUUGGCUACUGUAUGUGACAUCAAGAAAUAAGAGAUGGAUGUUCCUACAAGCCUCCUCAGAGCUCAGCGAUUCUCGGCCGUUGGAUCGUUCCCCUUGAUGUGUUUUCGUCCGUCCGAUCAAGAUCUGGAGAAGGCUGGGCCGUUGGAUCUAGGGCAAACACUGCUAGAAUGAAUAAUUUCACUCUGUUUCGUGCCACCGUGCGUUAUUUUGGUGCCCCACCGAGGGUAUUCUCGUCAUUUUGCUUUGUCUGUGGCGGUGGUGUUCGUGCUAGGGCGAUGAUGAUUAACUGUGGCUGAAAUAAGUGUGCCUUUGAGCAAUUGAGGUACCUAUGGGUAUCAAGUUGGAUCCUCCCUGUUGUCUCUAGAAUCAUCUUUGAUCCUGUGAUACCUAUUGAUCUGUCCUUGGAUGGUCAUUCUUGUUGAUUGAUAACCAGGGAAGCUCCAUUGUAUAAACAGAUUGAUCUGGUGAUAAGAGAUGAUGGGGGUAGGUUAUAUGAUCGAGGAAAGGCGAAUCUGAGCCCACUAUGCAAUGAACAUCAAACCCUUUUUAUUUGUAUUUAAAGGCGUUGCUUACUUAUGCUCCAGUGUUUAUAGCCAUCUUGUGUAAAGAUUUAUUCUCUCUUAUAACUUUAUUGCAUAUAAGUUGUUCUUGAUCUUUUAUUGUUCUUUGUUGGUCCUUGAUUUAGUCUGGUUAGGAACUCUUCUCUCUCUUAUGUAAAGAUUUCUUCUCUCUCAUACCAAUGUUUGUCCAUGUAGUAACAGAUAUAUAUUUCAAGCAUGACAUGAAUAAACCUGAAUGGUCUUUGAGAUGAGAUGCAUGGUUGUACAAUAUAGGGUACUAAGUUAGAGAUCGGCUUUCCCUAUGAAUGCAAACUAUUGUUGGCUAUAAACAUGUCUGCCUCCUAGAGUGUUUGGCCUAAUUAGUUAUUGGGUUGAUUUUGGUAGUUCUACUUUUUUGAUGCCAACAAUAUGCAAGUUAAUGUUCAGGGUGUGCUUUGGCCUUGGGAUUCUUUACUGUUUUUAUUCUAGAUGUGGUGGUCUUAUUAGUCAGUAUUCAGUGAAUAUAGUUUGUGCCUAUGUAUGCAAACUUUUCUUUCUUUCUUAGAAAGCUGCUAUUUUCAUUUAUUUGGAGAGGACCUCUGAAUUUUCAUUGCACAUGAAACGAGCCGCUGUCACUACCCAGCACAUGAGUACUCAAUGUGUGUAUUUUGAGGUAUACGUCUUCAAAAGAAAUUCGACUCUAUAUUAUAUGGGGAACUAUAGUUAGUAGUGUGUAACUGGACUCCUAUUUAUAGCAGUGGCAUAGCUGAUACUGGUCUCUAAUUUAUCAUUCCUUCUAGCUCUAAAAUACAUAUGUUUUUUCUAUGAUGUACUACUCAACUAUGCGUGCUAAACAGAGCAUGGUGACUACUAAUUCCUCAUGAGCUUCUUAAUAUUUGUCUCUGCACCAAGGAGGCAAUAAACAUGAACCAGAUAACUGUAUUUUUUCCCUAUUUUCGUUGUAUGACAGUACAUCUCCAUUGUGCUUACUUUUACUUUUAUUUGCCAGGUCUGCAUAAAAUCAAGUGACUGUUGUACUCCCAAUUCAAUUAGCACGUUUCGGUUUGAUCCCUGCAUUUUUUGGCAAAUUUGUGUUCAUGAUAUCUCCAGUUUACUCCUAAUGUCAUCCUUUGUGCUUCUCAGAUCUGCCAGCUCCAUGGAGACAUGGAACCCCUCAUCAUUUUGUUGGACUAAGUGUGGAGUUACUUGUGCAAGUCACACCAUCAGCAAACACAUAAAGAUUCCCGUUGUUGUCUUUGUAGUGGAAGGUACCACCUGGUGGUAUGUUGCUAUUUUCAGUUUGCUCUGAACAAAGACAUGUAUAGACUUUAGAUUUUAAUACAUAUCUCUGUCAUAAAAAGUAA